rnacentral:rRNA from 1 species
UACAGAGGUCUCAAGCGUUGUUCGGAUUCAUUGGGCGUAAAGGGUGCGUAGGCGGCGCGGUAAGUCGGGUGUGAAAUCUCGGAGCUUAACUCCGAAACUGCAUUCGAUACUGCCGUGCUUGAGGACUGGAGAGGAGACUGGAAUUUACGGUGUAGCGGUGAAAUGCGCAGAUAUCAGGAAGAACACCGACGGCGAAGGCAGCUCGCUGGGACGGUACUGACACUGAGACGCGAAAGCGUGGGGAGCGAACAGG